GGAGAAGUACUCAAGUGGCUAAAGAGGUGCCCCUGCUAAGGGUAUAGACUGGGCAACUGGUGCGAGGGUUCAAAUCCCUCCUUCUCCACCA
rnacentral:tRNA from 4 species